rnacentral:misc_RNA from 1 species
CGAGUUAGGGUCCCUCGCGGCCCGACCUCCCAACCCUUUGUCUACCUGACCACUGGUUGCUUCGGCGAGCCCGUCUGUAAUGGACCGCCGGGGGGUACCUUGAUCGGCCCUCUGGUCCGCGCUCGUCGAUAGCCAAACUUUUAAAAUCUUAACCAAACGUGUCUCAAUCUAAGUAUUAUUUGUUAAAUAAAAGCAAAACUUUCAACAACGGAUCUCUUGGUUCUGGCAUCGA